rnacentral:rRNA from 1 species
UACGGAGGAUCCGAGCGUUAUCCGGAUUUAUUGGGUUUAAAGGGUGCGUGGGUGGCCUGUUAAGUCAGGGGUGAAAGACGGUAGCUCAACUAUCGCAGUGCCCUUGAUACUGAUGGGCUUGAAUGAACUAGAGGUAGGCGGAAUGUGACAAGUAGCGGUGAAAUGCAUAGGUAUGUCACAGAACACCAAUUGCGAAGGCAGCUUACUAUGGUUUUAUUGACACUGAGGCACGAAAGCGUGGGGAUCAAACAGG